rnacentral:rRNA from 1 species
GCGGAGGAAAAGAAACUAACUAGGAUUCCCUUAGUAACGGCGAGUGAACCGGGAUGAGCUCAAAUUUGAAAUCUGGCGUCUUUCAGGCGUCCGAGUUGUAAUCUAUAGAGGCGUUUUCCGCGCCGGACCGCGUCCAAGUCUCUUGGAAUAGAGUAUCAAAGAGGGUGACAAUCCCGUACUUGACGCGACAACCGGUGCUCUGUGAUACGUUCUCAAUGAGUCGAGUUGUUUGGGAAUGCAGCUCUAAAUGGGUGGUAAAUUCCAUCUAAGGCUAAAUAUUGGCGAGAGACCGAUAGCGAACAAGUACCGUGAGGGAAAGAUGAAAAGCACUUUGGAAAGAGAGUUAAACAGCACGUGAAAUUGUUAAAAGGGAAACGAUUGAAGUCAGUCGUGUGGGAAGUAUUCAGCCGUCUCUGGCGGUGUAUUUGCUUCUCACGGGUCAACAUCAGUUUGAUCCGGUAGAAAAAGGCGGGAAGAAGGUGGCAUCCUCGGGUGUGUUAUAGCUUCCUGUCAUAUGUGCCGGACCAGACUGAGGAACGCAGCUUGCAGCAAUGCCGGGGUUCGCCCACGUACAAGCUUAGGAUGUUGACAUAAUGGCUUUAAACGACCCGUCU